GAAUUCCAGGUGUAGCGGUGAAAUGCGUAGAGAUCUGGAGGAAUACCGGUGGCGAAGGCGGCCCCCUGGACAAAGACUGACGCUCAGGUGCGAAAGCGUGGGGAGCAAACAGGAUUAGAUACCCUGGUAGUCCACGCCGUAAACGAUGUCGACUUGGAGGUUGUUCCCUUGAGGAGUGGCUUCCGGAGCUAACGCGUUAAGUCGACCGCCUGGGGAGUACGGCCGCAAGGUUAAAACUCAAAUGAAUUGACGGGGGCCCGCACAAGCGGUGGAGCAUGUGGUUUAAUUCGAUGCAACGCGAAGAACCUUACCUACUCUUGACAUCCAGAGAACUUAGCAGAGAUGCUUUGGUGCCUUCGGGAACUCUGAGACAGGUGCUGCAUGGCUGUCGUCAGCUCGUGUUGUGAAAUGUUGGGUUAAGUCCCGCAACGAGCGCAACCCUUAUCCUUUGUUGCCAGCGAUUCGGUCGGGAACUCAAAGGAGACUGCCGGUGAUAAACCGGAGGAAGGUGGGG
rnacentral:rRNA from 1 species